ACUGCAUGUUUAAAAGGAGCAACAAGAGAAGGAGUGAGACAGGCAGGGGCGAGAGAGGUUGGAUGAAGGAUCGACAGAGGGAAACGACAGGCUUUGACGACAGGAGAGAGGGGACGGCAGGAUUCGGCAGGUUCUGGCCGCAACGGGGAAGAAUCUGCGGCUUGGCCGAGAGCGACCGGGUAGACGCACGCAGGCUGGGAAGGAACCCCCGGACCACGCAGUAAACCCCUCAGGCUACCGGAACGAACCCCAAGAAGUCAACAACAGGCAGGGGCAGAGGAAACUCUGCCGCCAAAGUAAGUGCCGUGCGUUGUGGAUCUGUGGGCACACCCAACUGCCUUUGGCUGUGGGCUUGCGGGCUCGUGCGUCGUACGCUGGCUGUGUGGGUCUGUGGACAGGGGGGCGAUUUGGACCCAGAGACCUGCGGAGACCCCCAGAGCGACCAGGAGGCGGAGCGGGACAGGCACGGCCAUGUGGGUCCCGCGAGUGACUGGAGACUGGCGAGGAGAGUGGGCGUGCCUCAACACUUGGACGUGGAACUACAGCAAAGGAGGACGCCGAGGAAGGGGGCGGAGUCAAGAUACCCACAUGCCUGUCGGCCCCUCGCCCAUCACAUUUGUACCAUCAGGUAUUUUAGUAUCAACAACGUGACUGUUUUUUUAAUGUAUUGUAGCGUCCCGGAAGAGUUGGUGUCGCAAGGGGUUCUGGGUAUUUGUGUUGUUGUGUUUCUGUUGCUUUGCGGUGCUGAUGUUCUCCCGAAAUGCAUUUGUUGUUCUUGUUUGGUGUGAUUCACAGUGGGGUGCAUGUUUGUGACAGUUUUGGUGUUGUUUUUGCGGCCACCAUAAGUGUGACCUGUGGGGCUGUUGAUAAGUACGCAUUGCUUUCACUUGCGUGGGUGUGUUCAAAUUUAACAUGAUCAUUAAAGAUGUUAAUAUUUGUACAACGUGUCAGCAUUUCAUGAUGUCUUUAAGCAGAGACUUUCUAAGACUCUCGUCCAACGCUACAGUGUCAUAAUAAAUUGUGAACCGGUUAUACAUCUUUUCUUAUUUUGGGCAGCUGGAUCUCACUACUUUGGGUUCUUAAUAUUUAUAUUACCAAUUUUUAUUGGUUUUAAGUAACAUCUGUGUCAGAUUUUAAUAUUUUUACCACUCGGGACCAUUACAUAAAUACAAUCAUGUUUAACCUGCGUGAUGACUGUAUUAUGCUGAUAGUAUAUAUUUGUACCAUGAAUUGAUUAACCUGGACCCCGAAUAACAAGUUUAAAAACUUAUUCGGGUGUUAACAUUUAGUGGUCAAUUGUACGGAAUGUGUGCUGAACUGUGCAAUUUACUAAUAAAAGUAUCAAUCAAUCACUGAAGUAUUUCGAUUACUAGUCCGUUUAAUUUGAUUGUCACAGAAGUCCAUGAAAAUAAAGUCAUACAUUUUUUUCUACAAAAAUGUGCAGGUUUAAAAAUGUUUUACAUACUGGUUUGGGCACGUUUUAAGUACUUUUUUUUAAAAUAUCAAUUAGGUACUGGUAUCGGUUCAAAUUUAAACAAUACCAUCCCUAAUGAUUAUACAUUAAGAAAAGUCAGUGAUACAAGAAAACAUCCAUUCAUUUUCUACCGCUUGUCCCUUUUGGGGUGGCGGGGGGUCGCUGGAGCCUAUCUCAGCUGCAUUCGGGUGGAAGGCGGAGUACACCCUGGACAAGUCGCUACCUCAUCACAGUACAAGAAAACAACUUAAGAAUAAACUGUUCCGUAAAAAUAAACAAAGCAGAAACAAUGCAAACAUAAAUUACAGUAUGCACUGGGAAAAAAAAUACAUGUAUGAGUAUGUAAAUAGAUCGA